AAUAGAUACCCUGGUAGUCCACGCCGUAAACGAUGAGUGCUAAGUGUUAGAGGGUUUCCGCCCUUUAGUGCUGCAGCAAACGCAUUAAGCACUCCGCCUGGGGAGUACGGUCGCAAGACUGAAACUCAAAGGAAUUGACGGGGGCCCGCACAAGCGGUGGAGCAUGUGGUUUAAUUCGAAGCAACGCGAAGAACCUUACCAGGUCUUGACAUCCUUAUGCCAUCCCUAGAGAUAGGGCUUUCCCUUCGGGGACAUAAGUGACAGGUGGUGCAUGGUUGUCGUCAGCUCGUGUCGUGAGAUGUUGGGUUAAGUCCCGCAACGAGCGCAACCCUUGAUCUUAGUUGCCAGCAUUAAGUUGGGCACUCUAAGGUGACUGCCGGUGACAAACCGGAGGAAGGUGGGGAUGACGUCAAAUCAUCAUGCCCCUUACGACCUGGGCUACACACGUGCUACAAUGGAUGGUACAAAGGGCAGCGAAACCGCGAGGUUAAGCCAAUCCCAUAAAACCAUUCUCAGUUCGGAUUGCAGG
rnacentral:rRNA from 1 species